CAUCAAUCAUCUGCCAUUUCAAAUAGACAAAAGCCAAGUUUCAAAACCAAGUUUCCUUCUAUUAUUCAUCCGCUCUUUCCUCACUUUUCAACACACCCAACAAAGUUUAAGUGCAGAGCAAUCAAGCAGAUUCAAAUCCAAAUUCAUUGUUAAAUUGUUGAUUCGCAGAUCCAACUUUGUGAGUUCAGAAAAUUAUCAAGGUCCGGGCGACAGAAAGUGAAGCAGAAGAAGAAACGACUCCACGCCAGCUUUAAGAACAAUUGAGGUUGAGCAGGCGAUGGAAUGGAUUGGUGUUGAGCGGAUUUCCCUUUUGAUGUUUAUGUAAUGAAACCUUGAGUAUGCAUCUCCAUAUGCAUAACUCACACGUUUUUCCGCUACAAACACUCUGAAUUUGUUAUCGUAUUGUGGAACUUAUUACUCCUUCAUUUUGUUUAACUUUCAUUUGGGGUUUAGUCGUUAUGGCUGGCUCAUUUGUUAAUUACCCAAGUGGUUAUAUAUAUAUAUAUACCACUAGUUUGUUGUUAUUAAUGUUGGUUAUUUAGUAAAUCCCUUUUAAAUUUCCAUUUCUUAUUGUUCACCCAAGUCAUAACCCCGGUUAACCCGUCAUUGGGAUAGUGGGCUGUGACAGAGUGGUAUCAGAGCAGUUCGUUUGCUCUGGCCCUAGAAACCUUAUUCUAAAAAGCCAAGUCUAGUUUGAUUCACUAGACAUACGUGGGUUCAUACGACACCGCUCAACACUCCAUUACAUCGUGCUCAAUCAAGGAA